UUCAGGCCAAGAUUCCUGACCGAGUAUACGAGACAUCACCGGUAUUUCUACUACUCCACCAACAGUCUCGUAACGAGAAAAUUAACGGGAACGUUAACAGCGAUUUAGAAUCUUAAUAAACAAUUGCAAUGUUACCCCGAAAUUGAUAAUAUGGAGUCAUAAAGUAUAUGUAUAUACGAUAAAAUAAUACGAAUCAGUCGGUAACAACGAAAUCUUCAAUUUUCAAGACGAGUUUUCAACGAAGUGCUAUUUCGAUGUUUGCACGAAAGAAAGAAAGAAAAAAAAAAGAAAUAGUACAAGGAAUCGAUAUGACGUUACAUUUUUUUUUUUUUCGAAAAAGUGCGGAAAUUGGAAUCGUACGAUUGGAAAAAAAUCGAUUGGACGAAACUGAACAACGAAUAAUUGCAACGACAGAGUUUCACCGUGUAGCAAAGUGGUUAGGUUAGAGAGUAAUUAAAAGCGAAUAUCCGUUUGUGGUUGUGAUGCAUCGAGUAACUAGCGGUUAGAGGAAAAAGAAAGAAUGAGAAAGAGGAAAAGAAAAAGAUAGAGCGUGCAGCACUGCGUCUCUUACUCGAGCUUGCCGAGACGGUGAAAGAAAAAGAAGAAGAAAAAGAAGAGGUAUGCCUAACACGAACGCACGAAACAAUUUGAAAUAAUGACCGAGACGAAAGUCGUCUAUAUAGAAACGUAACGGAUACACAAACGAAAGGGUGGCUAAUGAGCCGUCGAUGUGAAUUUUUCCAGCGAGAUAUCUUUGGUAAAUACGAAGAUGUACAAGAUUUUUAUCGCUCGGUACGACAAGAUUAAUUUAAUCGUUAAUCGUUAAUCGAAACUAUGAAACGUAUAAAUUUUCAUAAACUGUGACGAAAAGAAUUCCAUCGGUGCACACAGACAAUAGAUACUCCGAUAAUAUCUAUCUAUUCUCAAAAUAUAUAUAGUCGCGCGUGGUUUCACGACAGUAAACUUAUUUUCGAAUUUUAUAGUAUCCUCCCGUGAUUAACGAGCACAAUAUCCUUAUGACGGAUUAUAUACCUAAGUUUAAUGUUCUCAUGCCAAGUCCAAACAGCUCGAGCGUUGUUAAUAGUUGUUGCCUUCGUUCGAUUCUAAAAUGCAUACUUUAUCAUAAACCUUAUUUACGUCCGCUCGUAUAAUUUAGAAUUAAUCGUGUAAUAAAAAAAAAAACAAAAACAAAUAUACAAUAUCGUAUAAUAUAAUGGAAUCUUAAAGGUAUAAGGAGAAUAAGGGUUUGGAAUAUUUUUGCAACAACUGUAGUCAAAUUUACAUUAGAGGAUAAAAACGGUAGAGUAAAGAAAGAGAAAGUACGGAAAAAGAAGAGAAGAUAUAGAAUAAUAAUGCUUACUUAUGUCGUUGUUGGCCGGCGAGUCGUCGUCGUCGAGGGUUGUUUCGAGGGUUUCGUUGAGGGCUGCAUUCUCUUCUUGGAAAUUGUUCUCAUCACACUUAGGCAUAUUUUUUCCCUCUAGAAAUAUUCCAUCCGAGAGAUUGGCAGCAAUAGCAGGAACAUUGUCGAGUAAUGGAUUUUCAUGAACAUUGUCCAAAUUGUCCAGGUUGUCCGCGUUGUCCACGUCAUCGACAGCAUCGACGUCUGUCUCAGGUCCAAGAUCCUCGUAAAUAUAAUCCGCGGCAUCAUUCUCUUCGUGUUUUCCGUCAGCACCACCACCGGUUAUCUCAUCGUGAAAACCACCGUCGUCCAUUGCCGUUUCUUCCGAUCCAUUAGCGUGCCUCUCUUCUUGAUCGUUGUCAUAAGGUUGCUGAUGUUGCUGUUGGUAUUGCUUCAUCUGCUUGAAGAACAUGCCAUCGCUGAGAUCCUUCUGUACGUAUGGAUUGUUCACGGCCAUGUUUUUCAUCGAUUUCACGACGAGAACAGAAUUGGCGUCGCUCGACCUCGCUACUAUAUCACUUGGUGCCGUUAAGAAGACCACGAUCGCUGUAAUGUUGUCCAAAGAGCCAGCGUGUUUGGCUGCUUUUAUCAAGCUCGUUACGGCGUAAUUUGGAUCGUCUGAAAGAGAAAAAAACGAAAAUAAUAAAAAAGAAAAAAAAAAAUGAAAAAAAAGAAAGAAAAACAAAUAUCGUUGAUAAGACUUAAUAUUUUAAAUAGUCUUUCGAUUCGUUGACUUAUCAUUAACAGGCGUUGUUAUUUAUAUCGUUUCGUUGCGAUCACGUCUAUUACGGAAUACUAUUGCCUCGAUAACGGUGAAUCAUGCUUUUCUCGAAACCACGAUUACGUAAAUCUUAAGUUUAUCGAUGUCGGAUUAGUAACGGGCUAUUAUUCUCGUAAUGAGACGAAAUGAAAAUUGCCUCGAUAUAUAUCGAUAUAAUUUGACAUUGACUAAAAACGAGAAAAAAUAAUUCAAAACCAUUGAAUAUAUCAAAAAAAAAAAAAAAAAAAAAAAAAAAAAAAAAAACAACAAAAAUAA